ensembl:lncRNA
ACGGAUGCUUUCUUAUGUUUAUCUACUGAUUCCAUCAUCUUUCUUUCAAAUUAGGGACUCAGCCAACGCCUUCACAAAGUCCUCACGGCUGUCCCAGAGGCCAGUUCUCCUGUCCACAACCAGGGGGCUGUGUCGAUGCCAUGCUGCGAUGUGACGGGGUUCCCCAGUGUCCUGACGGAGACGACGAGAGGGGCUGCUCUACAGAUGCACAUAUGACCCCCACUCCUGUACCACUCAGAACACCCGGCGUGGCUGCAGUCACAGUUUCUUUAACAACUAAGGAAAGUGGACCAGGAUACACAGGCGCUUGCACCUCUGCACUCGGUCUGGAGGAUGGCAGUAUUCACUAUGGGCAGCUCACCUCCUCCACCCACCGGGAGAAUAAUCCAGCCGACGCUGGCCGCCUC